rnacentral:rRNA from 1 species
CAAGUCGAGCGGAGAGAGGUAGCUUGCUACUGAUCUUAGCGGCGGACGGGUGAGUAAUGCUUAGGAAUCUGCCUAUUAGUGGGGGACAACAUUUCGAAAGGAAUGCUAAUACCGCAUACGUCCUACGGGAGAAAGCAGGGGAUCGUCGGAA